UACGAAGGGUGCUAGCGUUGUUCGGAAUCACUGGGCGUAAAGCGUGCGUAGGCGGCUUGACAAGUCAGGGGUGAAAGCCCACAGCUCAACUGUGGAAUUGCCUUUGAAACUGUCUGGCUGGAGUGUCGGAGGGGAUAGCGGAAUUCCUAAUGUAGUGGUGAAAUACGUAGAUAUUAGGAGGAACACCGGUGGCGAAGGCGGCUAUCUGGACGACAACUGACGCUGAGGCACGAAAGCGUGGGGAUCAAACAGG
rnacentral:rRNA from 1 species